GACGAACGCUGGCGGCGUGCUUAACACAUGCAAGUCGAACGGAAAGGCCCUGCUUGCAUGGUACUCGAGUGGCGAACUGGUGAGUAACACGUGGGUGAUCUGCCCUGCACUUUGGGGUAAGCCUUGGAAACUGGGUCUAAUACCGGAUAGGAGCCAUUUUUUGUGUGAUGGUUGGAAAGUUUUUUCGGUGUAGGAUGAGCUCGCGGCCUAUCGGCUUGUUGGUGGGGUAAUGGCCUACCAAGGCGGCGACGGGUAGCCGGCCUGAGAGGGUGGACGGCCACAUUGGGACUGAGAUAAGGCCCAGACUCCUAAGGGAGGACGAAGUGGGGAAUAUUGCACAAUGGGCGCAAGCCUGAUGAAGCGACGCCGCGUGGGGGAUGACGGCCUUGGGGUUGUAAACUCGUUUCGCUAGGGACGCAGCUUUUUGUGACGGUACCUAGAUAAGAAGCACCGGCUAACUACGUG
rnacentral:rRNA from 1 species